rnacentral:lncRNA from 1 species
AUGAACAAAGCUAGUGGAGAUGAUGGAAUGCCAGUUGAGCUAUUUCAAAUCCUGAAAGAUGAUGCUGUGGAAGUGCUGCACUCAAUAUGCCAGCAAAUUUGGAAAACUCAGCAGUGGCCACAGGACUGGAAAAGGUCAGUUUUCAUUCCAAUUCCAAAGAAAGGCAAUGCCAAAGAAUGCUCAAACUACUGCACAAUUGCACUCAUCUCACAUGCUAGUAAAGUAAUGCUCAAAAUUCUCCAAGCCAGGCUUCAGCAAUACGUGAACCAUGAACUUCCAGAUGUUCAAGUUGGUUUUAGAAAAGGCAGAGGAACCAGAGAUCAAAUUGCCAACAUCUGUUGCAUCAUCAAAAAAGCAAGAGAGUUCCAGAAAAACAUCUGUUUCUGCUUUAUUGACUAUGCCAAAGCCUUUGACUGUGUGGAUCACAAUAAACUGUGGAAAAUUCUGAAAGAGAUGGGAAUACCAGACCAUCUGACCUGCCUCUUGAGAAACCUAUAUGCAGGUCAGGAAGCAACAGUUAGAACUGGACAUGGAACAACAGACUGGUUCCAAACAGGAAAAGGAGUACAUCAAGGCUGUAUAUUGUCACCCUGCUUAUUUAACUUAUAUGCAGAAUACAUUAUGAGAAAUGCUGGGCUGGAAGAAGCACAAGCUGGAAUCAAGAUUGCUGGGAGAAACAUCAAUAACCUCAGAUAUGCAGACACCACCACCCUUAUGGUAGAAAGUGAAGAGGAACUAAAAAGCCUCUUGAUGAAAGUGAAAGAGGAGAGUGAAAAAGUUGGCUUAAAGCUCAACAUUCACAAAACGAAGAUCAUGGCAUCUGGUCCCAUCACUUCCUGGGAAGUAGAUGGGAAAACAGUGGAAACAGUGUCAGACUAUUUUUGGGACUCCAAAAUCAUUGCAGAUGGUGAUUGCAGCCAUGAAAUUAAAAGAUGCUUACUCCUUAGAAGGAAAGUUAUGACCAACCGAGAUAACAUAUUAAAAAGCAGAGAUAUUACUUUGCCCACAAAAGUCUAUCUAGUCAAGGCUAUGGUUUUUCCAGUGGUCGUGCAUGGAUGUGAGAGUUGGACUGUGAAGAAGGCUGAGCACCAAAGAAUUGAUGCUUUUCAAUUGUAG